rnacentral:rRNA from 1 species
ACUGUAUAAUCCCUGCGGGGGAAAGAUUUAUCGCUAUUAGAUGAGCCUACGUUAGAUUAGCUAGUUGGUAAGGUAAUAGCUUACCAAGGCUAUGAUCUAUAGCUGGUCUGAGAGGACGAUCAGCCACACUGGAACUGAGAUACGGUCCAGACUCCUACGGGAGGCAGCAGUGGGGAAUAUUGGACAAUGGGCGAAAGCCUGAUCCAGCUAUGCCGCGUGAGUGAAGAAGGCCUUCGGGUUGUAAAACUCUUUCAAUAGGGAAG